rnacentral:rRNA from 1 species
CCAGCAAUUAGGAAGAAUGUAUAGCGAUAGCUAAUUGUAUAACAUGUUAUGCAAUAUUGACUAAAUUGAAUAAAGUUCUGAGUAAAUCUAGAUAGUGACUUAGUUUACUCACGUGUCUUGACCAAAAUGCGUGCCAGCAGUCGCGGUAAGACGUAUAAGACUAGUGUUAUUCAUCUUUAACAGGUAUAAAGCGUAAUUAGACGGCAAAUCAAACUGUAGUAAGAACUAGUUUGCUAGAGUUACUUGUGAAGAGGCUUGAAAGUACUAAUGGAGUAGAGAUAAAAUGCUAAUAUACCUUUUUUCGAUAGAAAUAUCACGGCACUGGUAAAGGCGAAAGCAUCCUCUUAUGAGAUAACUGACGUUAAAGGACGAAGGCUUAGAAUAUCGAAUAGGAUUAGAUACCCUAGUAGUCUAAGCAGAAAAUGAUGAGUGUCAUAGACUAGAACAAGUAUAAUACAAUAAACGAAAUUAAUAAAAAUUAGAAAUUUAGUCUAUAAAUGAAAAUGUAAGCACUCCACCUUAAGACUAAUGUGGCAACACCCAAAUUGAAAUCAUUAGACCGUUUCUGAGACCAGUAGUGAAGUAUGUUGUUUAAUUUGAUGACCCGCAAAAAACCUUACCACAACUUGAAUAAAUUUUUUAUAGUUUUGUACAAGCGCUGCACGGCUGUCUUAAGUUGAUUUUCUGAAAAUUUGGUUAGAUCCAUUUAAUUGACGUAAACCCUCCUUUUACUUUUAUGUAAAGCGGU